UACGUAGGGUGCAAGCGUUGUCCGGAUUUAUUGGGCGUAAAGAGCUCGUAGGCGGUUUGGCAAGUCGGGUGUGAAACCUCCAGGCUCAACCUGGAGACGCCACUCGAUACUGCUAUGACUUGAGUCUGGUAGGAGAUCACGGAAUUCCUGGUGUAGCGGUGAAAUGCGUAGAUAUCGAGAGGAACACCUGUGGCGAAGGCGGGUCUCUGGACAGUUCCUGACGCUGAGGCACGAAAGCUAGGGGAGCGAACGGG
rnacentral:rRNA from 1 species